rnacentral:snRNA from 1 species
AUCCUAGUGCACGGGUUUCACACGUAUCAGUGAGGAAUUAUCCGAGAUCGUGUUUUGCUAGUUGAAAACUAUGCAUCCCCC